rnacentral:lncRNA from 1 species
UGUGCUUCCACUAUUGCAGCGAUUGUUUUAAAGAUUACAUCCAUUACAUGAACCACAUCAUCUUUGCUUCCUUGCGUUCCUGCCAUGAAUAUUUUGUUCCACAGGUCAUAAGAUAUAUCGUGAACAUCUAUUUCUGUUAGAUUGCUCGGUGCUCCUCCUUUCGGGAAUACAGGAUCUGUUGUGAUGAGUGUAACUUCAUGACCUCUCUUGGCUAGUUCGUGCAUUAAAGGUCGAAACACUACUUGAUGACUGAUCGAUGGAGUAGGAAAAA